UUUUUUUUUUUUUUUUUUUUUUUGUGCUAUGUAUUUCACUGCUGCCAGAACAGCAGAGCAAAAGAACAUAGCUGGAGGAGAAGAUGUAUGCCAAGAUGUCCCUGCAAUGUGAUGGCCCUCAGAAGUGUCACCUUGGUUAUGCAGCCACAAACGAAAACUAGAAGCCUAUUGCUUUUUCCUAACUCAUGGAUAAAUUCUUGGAAGUCUCUUACUUUUGAGCACCCUACAGACUCAGAAAUGAUAAGACAUUUAAAAAAUAACCCUUGAAAGUACUUUUAAUGUCAUGACAUCUGAGAUAAUCACACAGCUUCUGUGACCUUGACUGAUGCUCUUAAGAGAUUGAAAAUGCUCAGAUGGGGGUAUAUAGUCAUGUAAAAGAAAAAUUACUUGGAAUGUAAGAAACACAAUAUUUUAGAUCAUCAGCCUCUAAGAGUAAGACACAGCACAACUCAGGAGUAGACAAGUAAAUGGUCAGCACAGAUUUCUGGACAGCUUCUAGUGCUGGUUCAGAUCAAUCACUGUGGCUGGAGUCAGCACAAAGGCUGGGAACUGAUUGAGAUACUGAUCUAAACAAAUGCUGUUAUGUGGCCUCAUUCAGGUAUCUUAAGAGGGAAGAGGCUUCGCUUCCUUAAUUGGCCAUGUUGGUCAAAGAUGCUGUUGUAGGUACUCAAUGCAUUUGUUCUGAGUGAAAUCUGCCAGGGUGUGUGCAAGGCAUGGCAUGUACAAGGGCAUGUUUAGGAAUCAGGCUGACAGUAGGGAUGAGAGGAGGGAAGCAUGUAGUGCAGAUGAAAAGGCAGUGACAGCUUGAGAUGAACAACAGGAAGGAAUAAUGGUGAGAUAUGAAUAAUUUGUAGAGGUCUGCAGAUUCCUUGGCAUCUGCAAGGAGGCAAAAUGUUGGCAUGUUAAAAAGUGCCUAUUGUAAUUCUUUUAAUGAUACUGCUCUGCGUUAGCUGCUGUGGAAUGUGCUAUCAUUCCAGAUUUCUUCAUAGUUCUGUAAAGAAACCUAAUUUAAUUUUAUAAUUAAACACAUUUUACAAAAGUGACAAUUACUAGCAUCAUACAUUUUUGUUUAAUGACAAAUUAGAUCUCAGAAUGUAAUAUCUUGAGAGUUUUUGUUUUAAUUUAUUUUUUUUAAUCACAGAUUUCCAUUAGGAAUAGAUAAAUAAAAUAUGUACCUCCGUGAACUACUAAAAAUAAUAUGCAACAGUGAGGGAUAUGAGGGCUUUGCUAUUUCCAAGCAUUUCAAAUUAAAUACUUUAAAACUGGGAUGCCAUUGGCAAAAUGUCUAGGUCUCCUGCCUCAGUACUAUGAAAUUAGUUUGUAGCAAAAUCCUACUAUGUCUCAUCAUGUGUAUUCUUUGUUUUCAGUUUUGUCACUUAUCUUAUUUUCAUUGGGGGUUUUAUUUUCUAUGAAUAAACACUGAAUAGCUAUAUUUAUGUAUCCUUAAAAACCACUGUAAAUUAACAUAAUACCACUGAAGAUAAUGAAGCUGAGCAGGGCUCUAACAGCUGAGAUUAGAUACCCUUCUUUGUGCAAAAGAAAUGUCAGUGUAGGACAGGGACUUCAUCUUGAUGAGAGAGUGGUGUAACGUUUUGGGAUGUGAGCCAGAAGCCAGCCAGUGUAAAACUCAGCCUGUGCAAAGCAUUAUAUUCCCUCCAUAUCCCCUUUGCUCUUUCCCUUCUGUAGCUGAAAAAGGAGCACUGCCAACAGCCCCAUUACAACUGGGAAAAGAGAUCUCUUUAAAGAUUUAACCUCUUGUUUUUCUGCAUGUUGGCUUCUGUUCAUUUAAAUAAAUAAAUAAAUAAAAGCUCCCAUUAGUGUUGCGUAAUCAGCCUGCAAUCAGAAACACAAAAGGAAAAUACUGACUGGCUUUUGAACUACAUGUUGUCUCUACAAGUUCUCAAAGAAUUACAUAUUCUUUGUUCUCUUAAAAGGCAGUAUGGCUGUCUCUGGUCUGGUAAUAAAUAAAAAAGGCUAUUGAAUCUUUGUCUAAAAGCUGUGCAAGAACUAGGUGUGUACCUAUUUUUGUGCUUUGGGUACCUGAAUGCUGAAAAACCUAUUAAUACUAAAAUAGAUCACAGAGGUUUAAAAGAUUGAAAGAUAGGCCAAGUGGUUGCUAAGCUUUAGAUUUACAGAUGUCUUUGAAGACCUGACUGAAAUCAUAAUGAUAAAGGAUUUUUUUGCUUAGCAUGCCUGCUACGGUUUUCUCAGACAUCAAGUAUUUUAGGCUCUGUCCAUACUUCUGUUCUGAACUCAUGGCAGCAUAUUCCUGGGGCUGGUUUCUACCCACUUGCCCACAGUGGUGGUAUUUUGUUUUACACAGCAGUAUAAGAAAGGAUUAUACCUCUUAUUUUUCUAAAUGGUGAAAUCUAGAAUCACCAGCAGUUUAAACUCAGUUUAAUUUAAAAACAAUAAUCUUAAAUUUGAAACACAAGCAAAAUUGAAAUAAAUAUUUAAAUCGGACAGUAUCAAAGUUGAUUGUCAUACCAUAUGUUAGCAAGUAAAGGUGAGGCAGUUUGACAAGUAGUUGCAGUGUGUUGUUUUUACCAAUUGGUUAAUUUUCUUUUUUCUUUUAAAGUGCACGGCAGCCCAUGGCUGCCAUUUCUGCUGCUUGUGCUUCAGUACAGGCCAGCUGAACAGAACAUCUAGCUAAGAUCAACAAUGAGAUUAGGUCUUAUUUAGAAAACAUCAUAUAAACCAGCCAAGUAAGCCAAACAGACAAAAGUAAUGUGAACAAAAAACCGCGACUUGAACUCACAGUGAUCUUUCAAGCAAGAUAAGAGAAUGAAUUAAUUAGUCUAACCUUUAGCUGGAAUUGCAAAGCAUUUACCUGCAUACAACUUCAAGGCUUUUGUCUAUGUGGAAACAGUUGACUCCUUAGUGAGGGCUGAGAUGUUCUGAAAGAGGCAUUCUUUGUGUAUUUUCUUGAAUCUGUAGACGUACCAGCUGUAAUGCUUUGCUGAUUUCCUAUCACAGGCUUACUUUAUGAUAGUGGCACCUGAAAAACAGGAUUCUGAAUUGCAUCGUACAAAGUAAGAUUUCCUUACUCUUGGCAAUUUUUCUGUAGCAGAUGUUAGAGAAAUUACAAUGCCACAAAAUUACAGGUGUUCUUUUGUUCUGCCCAAAUUUGAUAUUGAUGUUUUAGAACUCAAUCCCCAGAGACUCAAUGAAUAGGUGGUUUUUAAAAACAGUAGAGUUUCUCCCUGGCUCUUAAAGCUAAUCUAUGUCUGUUUUAAUGUGCAUGAGCUAGCUUAUAGCUCUCUUGCCUCCAGCCUUCUACAGCUAGCAUUAGGCCAUCAGCAAGAAGGGUGAGUAUGAGAAAAUUACUUUUGAGAUCCCUAAAGUUAUAAAUUCUAUCCCAUUUGAUAAACAGAGCUGAGAUUACAGGUCUGAGGGACAUGUAUCUUAGCCUGUUAUUCCCCAAGCAGAUACCUUAACAUAGAUGAAUUAGGGCAUGAUAUUUUGGAGCCCCAGAGCUACCACAUUUCCACUGGAAUUCCUCCUCCAAAUUAAUAGUUUGGAGAAGGGGGAAAAAAGAAGAAGAAAAGAAAAAAUAGGAGUUUAAAGAGAUGCCUGACUUUCUAUUGGUGACUUGUCCCUUCAAGAAUGAAAUUAUCCCAUCAGGACGUGAGGAAAAAAAUAAUCUAACUUGGUGCAGACAAAAUAAGUUUCCCAUAGAAUACAAAGGAAGGGUGAGUUUAAGAUUAUAACUGAAAAAGGCUGUACUUGACCAGAGCAAAAGACCAUUCUGCUCAGUGUGCUGUUUCCAGUGGUUGCGGUAUAUGAACACUUAGGUAAGGGUACAAACAGUGUAAAAAUAGGAUUCUUCCUCUAAUCGCUUUCUCUGCCUCAGGACUGAGCUAGAUGCAUUUAGCAAAUUUAAAUAGAUUUCUUUUCCAUUAGGUUUUUCAGUCUUCCCCAGAGUCCAUGUAAAAUUUAGAAUCUAUUAUGUCCCUUGGCAAGGAGUUCAACAAGGUUGUUAGUCCUUUUUUUAGGUGCCAUUUUUAGCAUUUUUUUUUCACCCUGGCUCCUGUCAUCUCUUUUCUAAACUGAAAAGUCCUUGUUUACUUACUUAUUCUAUGCUUGAAAACAUUCCACUCCUGUAAUCAUCUUCACUUGCCUUAUCUAAUUUUUUUGUUAUUAUCUUUGUUAGGGGACAAGAGCUGCUCAUUGUGUUGAAGAUAGGGACAGACACAAAUUUAGAUACUAACUUAUGAAUCCAAGUUGGUGUAAUCAUAUUUUAAAGAUGCUUACCUUUUUCUGCAACUAUAACAGGUUCUGUUUUGUUCUCUGAUUCUCAGAGAGAGAUUUUGAAGUUUGCAUUUCAAGCACAGAAAUAUUAUAAAUAAAUUACGAGCAUAUUAACUGAAUGUUUACAAGUCAUAGCAAAAAUCUUCAGGCACUGCUCUACAAAGCAAAGCCUCUGUUUACAAAGAAGAGAAUACAAAUAAGCACUCCAUUGAAAUUUUGUCAACAUCAAGUUUAUUUUUUUCUUAGUAUCAAAACUUGAUACGAGUUUUCAACUUUGUCACAAAGAAAAAUAGGCAAAUUUUCAAGACAAAGUAGGGAAUUAAUAGCUUGUAAAUCAAUACAAAUACUAACAGAGCAGCAGCAGCUUCUCUAUUCUGACCAGUAAUGCAACUUUGCUUCAGAGUCAGCUGUGUACUUCUGAAAUUUUUACACUGUUUUUUAAUCUGCACAAGAUGUUGCUUGCUAAAUCUGAAAGUAGAAUCACCUCUGGAUUUUGCAUGGCAUUGCACAAAGACAAACAGGGAAAAAAAAGGGUACCAGAAGAUCUAAGAGAUCUGAUUAACUCUUUAAAUAUUCAAGAGCUCUUACCUAGCUCCAGGAAUAUAUUAAAUGCUGUGUACUGCCGAGAUUUGUGCUCCCUGUCUCUGUUUCUCUCUUUAUAGAAAGGUUUCUCACAUAUAUGUGGGUAAAAUACACUUGAUACUAAGAUUCCUUGUCUGUGCAAACAUUAAUAUGCUUUGAGAAGGAACAUUUUCUGCUUAGAUUGCUGUUCUGUAGCUCUUAGUGUUGUUUCCUGUGUAAUCAUCUGGUGUAAUCAUCCUAUAUCAAGAAGAUAAUAACUCAGUCUAGUUUCUGAACACAUAACUGUAUGUCAAUAGAAAGGAGGAGAUUAUACAAAGUAGAGGAUAUGCUUCCUAAAAAUUGCUUUAUCGCGCUGUGGACUUUGCUGGACACCUGAAAAUAUUCACUUUUUAAAGUUACCUAUGUACAACUUUUCCUCAUUUGUUUUGCUUAGAUGUUUAAGCCCUAUUUCCAAAUUAAGCAGUUCACUGAAUGCACUUGAUACUGUUAAAUAUUUAACAAUAAAUAUCUAACUAUUUCCCAAAUAGUUAGAUUAGACCACAUUAGAUUAGUUAGAUUAGUCCACAUUCCCUGACUGUGUACAGAUCAGUCACACAUACUUGUAGUGUGUCAUAAGAAUUACAGUAAGGAGGGGGAUGCAGAAAUCUCUGGCCUCUGUGAUGCCAUGAAAGACAGAUCCUUGAGUAAUCUGAGUUUUUCACAUUGGCUUGAAUGUGAUGGCUUGAAGUUCUUGGCUGUCUGACAUACAGUUGACAAGACAGCACAGAAUGAGACCCUCUGGUUUUUAAUCACAUAAAAAUCCUGUAUUGCAAACAAACUAAACUCUCUAGAUCACAAGAACGAUGCAUGGUUGCCAUGACAGAAGUCUAUAAGCAUUUGGCAACCUUCAACCUUCAAAGAGCCUACUGGAUUCAAGAAAGCCGAAGGAUCCAUCUGUGACAUGGCUGUCAAAGUGGUGUAGUGGAGAGGGUUCAUCCUCUGACUGGUCAUCAUAUAAGAAUUCUCAACCCAUAUGAGUUGCUAACACAGCAAACACAUUGCAUUUACUGUUGCUGUACCAAUGGUUUUGACCACAGUGACAAAUCACAUCUGCUGCUUAACUGCAUGUGUGAAGGUAGAGCUGAGCUCCGGCUCAACAGGGCGUGACAGACUGUUUCAAGUCUAUCACAUGUGUUGAAAAAUACUUUGUUUUUCAAAUUGCACACAGUGAUAAAGAGGACCCUAACUUCUUCAUUGUAAAGGAUGAAGCAGCAAAAAAAUUGCUAAUUAUAGAAGACAGAACUUCUCAAUUUCUGCUAGCAGGAUUGGAGAAGUCUUCAGUCAGGGCAGAGGGAAAAGACUGAAAAAUCCAGAAUCAAACAUGGGAUUAGAAGAAAGAGGUCAGAAAGGAUAUUGCUUGGGUAGCAAUCUCUUAGAAUAUUCCAUAAAUGUGUCUCUGCUUUAUGUUUGACAGUGGACAGCUUGUUCCCCCAUUCAGGUUGGAAGUUAAAGAUGCCAGAUUUCUACUGUGAAAAUGCAAAGAAUGGAGGAUGUAUGCAUAUAUCAGAAAGUAGUGUGUAUAUAUAUAUUUAUUCUCAAUAUGGGCCUUCCAGCAUGAAAGUCCAGGAUUAAAUUCAUUACCAUAAGUAUCUCUUUCAAAAUGUAUUAGAAAGUCUAUUUUCAGAGUGCAAAACAGCAACAAAAGUCCAUUUCCCAAGCAAUUUCCCCUGUGCUUUAUUGAGAGUAGGAAUGUAUGGUUUUGUGUGUUUGGGAUAUUGAAGGAGCAGCUCAUGUCUCCAGAGGUGAUUGAAGCAUUGGAAUUUAUUUUGAAGUAAUGAGCUUGGAAGAAAAAGAUGGAAAGAGAGUUCUGUCAUUGCUGAAAGUCUUAUAGAAGGAGGGGAGGGUGCUGAGAGUUGAAGAAAAAGUGAGACUACCAGCAAAGGCAAAGGCAGCAUUCUGUCUGACCUUUUCCUCAUGAUCAGUGGGACAUCUUCUCAGUGUUGUAUUCUCCUUUUUAUUUUUUUAGAGCUCCCUCCACCAUCCAGUGCCCUCUUGCUUCUCCUGCUGUUCUCUGUAGCAAUUUAUUGUCCCAGGGAGAAAACCAAAGAGCAGCAGGGAGACAGUGUUUGCUGCAUUGUGGGAUCCAGUGUCAUCCACACUGAAGAGCAUGAAUUCAGCUAGCAGAGGAGUUUGGAUCUGUUUGGUUCUAUGUGCAACACCAGGAUGACUUGGAUAGGAAGCAAAGAACACUGCUGGGAAAGCUUUUAUAUAUGUUCUUAAGAGGGAAAAUAAGCGUUUGCUUAUCUGCUGUGUUUAAUUGAGUUGGGAUUAUAAUUGCUCGAGUUUUCAUUCCCGACUGCUUUUGUAAUGGGAACAGUGUUUGCAGUGUGUUUUAGUCUUCCCGGGCUUCACUAUGUGCAUUAAUCUAGCUUUAUGAAGGAUUUACAUUUUAUAUUUUCUCAUAAUAUUUUUUUAUAAGUAACAAAAAGCUCCCCAAGUAAGCCCACCAGGCAAGGCUAUGGACAGUUAAAAGAAAAGGAUAGCUGUCGCAGUAAGGAUUUGUACAGUGAAUGUAGCAAGGUUGGCAAGAAAAGUCAGAAAACUAUUUAUGCUCUCUAAGGGUAACUAAUGGUUUAAUAGUAGAUGGCCUGAAGAAAAUAAUGGAUAUAAAUAAAGUAUGCUUUUAUUCCCCAGCAAAAAAGAUAGAAGAAGAAAAAAUGAAAAAGAAGAAAGAGGCCAAUAGUAUGAAAAGAGCUUUAAAGAUGGAAAAAUGUACAUCAGGGAAAGAGGAGUUGUUCAGUUUAUGCCACCAUUUUAAUAGACCUAGAGGAUUUCAUUUGACUUGUAACCUUUUGACACAAGCCAAGAUUUCCUAUUUUGGAUAAUAAAUGUAUGUUGGAUGAGUAAAUGCCUCUUGUAUCUAGAUACAAAUGCCACUUUUAUGUUGGAAAAUGUAGUGGGUUAUGUACAGUAGUGUUGUUGAUAUCAAUGGAUAAAAAUAAGUGGAUUAGUUCUGAAAAUAAUGAUGAAUACUGUUAUGGAAAUAUCCCGUGAAAUAAUGAACUGGGGGAUGUGAAAUGUAUCUACAUGUGGAACAAACUGAAAUAUGAUUUUUUAAAUUAUUUAACUGGAUUCCUCUCUCACCUUUCCUAUCUAUCUAUACAAACAUAACCUCAUACAGUAUUAAAGAAAGAGGGAGAGUCCAAAGUUUAAAUAAAAUUCUCCAUGGUCAUAAACUAACCUGUAGCAUUGGAAAAAUAGGAAGAAAUAUUACUUGAGGAAAAACUAUUCUGUAAAUAACUAAUGCACAGUGCUGCAUCUUUUGCUGAAACUGUUACUGCCUGUAAGCUGCACUAGAUGGGCAGAACAUUUAGGGUUUCAUCUUUGUUGCAGUGUUUUGGUUGACUAUUUUAAUCUUUUGAGACCUUGACUAUUUCAUAUUUUUGAUAUUUCCCACAUUUAAUAUCUAUCUAAUCAAAGCAUGAGCCUUGAAAGUUGCAUUUGCUAAGGCAUUAAUUAUUUCCUUUCUAACAAACAAAAAAAUACAUCAUCUAUCACUGAUAUUCACAGAACAUUAACUAAGUUUUAGUUCAUCCAAAUUUAUCCUGAGGCUCAAGUCAUUCUUAAACCCUGUACUAGUCAAUCAAGUCCACUUUAAAAUUCAGAUCAUCCAUUUUAUGGGUUUCCCUUGGUGCUAUUUGUCAGAAGAUUUAAAGUCACUUGAAAAUUUGUACACCAUGGUAAACCUCAGUUAUCAAUUGCCAUUUUUUUCUUUGCCUGCACCUUUUUUUCCCCUCUAAAGCAAUUAUCACCCAUUUCUAUACAUACUAACUUCUUGAUAUGAUUCAUGAUGGCUAUUUUUAAAAUAUAUGGUGAUCAUUGUGCAUCAUGAAGAUGAGAGCCUUUACCCACGUUUGAGAUUAUGAAAUGUUUUGAGAAAAGCUCCUAUUCUUUCUCUGUAUCAGUAAAUCUCGCAUAUCACUUCCACAAACACAUACAUCUCCUCACAUCCCAAUGCUUCUAGGACCUUGGAGCCAAAGUCCUGCGCAGAUUUAGACCAGCUGUAAAAGUAAAAUAUUUAAAAUAUUUUAAUCUAUUGAUAAGAAGGUCCAAAGAAUGGAUCUUACCCAUUUUUUCCCUUAAAGUCAAAUUGAACGUAUCUUACAUUGUAGGUUUCCAGCAACUUAUUUUGAAUCUAUGUAUGCUUUCAAAGGACUAUUAUUUAUAAACUGUUUUCUUACUUUGCUACUUUUUGUAAUGGAUCAGGGUGUAGAAAUACUGAGGCUGUAUAGGAAAUUGGGCUACUUGCUGGCUGGGAAGCAAUUCAUAUUAGCUACUGUCUACUUCAUCUCCUCUUAUUGUUUGGAGUGGAAAUUAACUCUCCAAUACCUACAGUGCCAUAGGAAACAUAAUCUACUUUUUUAAUAGCUUGUAGAUCAAAUAGCUCAACUCAGGGAAAUGGGUUCCAAUAAAAGCUCCAUUUUUUUAUGCUGGGCAGCAAAUCCAUAUUAUAGAAGCUAUCUUCAUUACUCAUUGGUAUAUAUUGGUAUAACUUAAAGUUUCCUUCAAGCAGUGUUAACAUUUGAUGAUGGAAAAUGAAGGCCAAUAAGCUGUACAGGGUACGUGCUUUGUAAAAUAAAUUGGCCUCUUGGGAACAGGAGAGCUACAACUUCAGUGAUAACGAUUAUGUUUUUAUGGCCCAAGACAGAAAUAAAAUGUUGAAAUGGAAAAUUAAUGCAAAAGCUUAGUAGGAAAAUUAUCAAAAUCUUAGAAUCACAGCAUGUAAAAAGUCAUUGUAAUAUAUCAAAAAAUCUGUUUAUGAAUGAUCAGUUACAGAGAAGCUGAGAGUAAUAAAUAAGGUUAUACUUUCCCAUUCUCACUGGCUAAAAAAUCUUUUUAAUGAAAAUGUGCAUUAUGUGGGUUUUGCUUCCUUUUUUCUCAGGUUCAAUUUUCCUUGUUGCUUAAGGUAAUUGAAUAAGGAGCAAUUCAUGAGUCAAAGACCACUUCAAUUUCUAAUUUUAUGAUGGAUAGACAAUGAUAGAAGAUAUGACUGUAAAGACAUAUUAUUUGGGCACUUAGCUUCACAGUAAUUUAUGAUGCAAUAUUAGAUGUGAUAUUUCUGUUGUCAAUCUGCAGAAUUUGUCAGAGCAAGAAAACAAAAAUCAGCAUGAUAUGAGAGUUAGUUCCUAAAAAAUCCUUAAAGAACAUCUGCAAAUGCUUACUGUGGUAAUGCCUGAAAAUUUAUAUAACUCUCUCCUGGUCAGUGCUGGCUAGUGUCACUUUGCUUUUUUUUUUCUUUUUUCCCCAUUUAUUAGUCUGUUGUUAAUUUGAAUUACAAAUAAGUCUAUGAUGGUUGGCAGCAGUUAGCAGUAGUGUAUACAGGGAUGCAAUAUGCUUCAUAACCUUUAUUAAGAAAGACUUCCAUAAAAUCCAAAAUUGCAUUAAAAAUUCUCAGUUAACUCACUGCCCAUAGGAAUUGAAUUAAUCCUUUUAUUGGUUUAUUUAAUCUGAUUAAACUUUUCAUGCUCUAGUAUCUGCAUGCAUAUUUCUAUGUGCAGUGUGUGUAUAUGCCAUAUGUAGGAUAGAAAACCCAUUUUUAAGCAAUAUUAAGCUUCCAAUUACUGAGAGGCAAACCCCUGGUUUCCAUAAAUGCAUAGCAGUAUGUGUAUAUCUGACUUUAUACAUGUGGUGGAAAGACUCUAAUGUGUAUUAGAAUGGACAGAAAAAUAUUAAUUUUUGUGUCAGAAAGCUCCCAUCUCAACUGAAGGUGACACUACUGUACUCUGUUUUGUAUCAGCACAUUAAAUCAAAUAAACAUCUAAACAAUCUUUCAUCCUACUUAAAAUAUUUAGAAGUAUGAAUGUUUUAAAGGAUUAAAAGAUGUAGUGUCUUUCCAAGGUCUGGCAGAAUGUUUGUGUCAAAGUGAGAAGCUGAAGACAAUAGCUCCUUACACUUCAGCAUUGUAACAGCUUAUGAAUAGUAAAGAAACAUUUUUCAGGGAAAGCAAGUUCCUACAAAAUUUUAAGGUUAUAAAGAAGGCACAUAGAUUUUAGGCUUUCUGGAAAGUGCCUGGGGAAAGAUUAGCACUUUCUAACAAGAUCCACUUGAGUCAGCAAAAUGAGUAAGGAGCUGCCAGAAACCAAUUCUUCCUUAUUGUCCGUUUAGACACAUAAUAGGUGAUGGGAAGUGUUGAGAUGAGGAACUCAUUUUAAAACUCAAAUCUUAGAACUUCACAGGUACUCCCUUGAAAUCCCCAGCUUGAUAUGUUGCUUCAUUAAUAGAUAUCUACAUAGACUCUCUGAAAAACAGACAGUUUUCAAAAAAAAAAAAAAUUAGGUGGUUUCUUUGGUUUCUAUUCAGGGUACAGCUGCAUUCUCCAAUUCACAUUUUCAGGCUAAGAGUGAUUCUGUUCAUAACAUAGGGUGACUAAAUUCUGCUCAAAUCCCUUCAGACACAUGGGAGUCAGGGAAAUUCAGGGUUUACUUGUAAUUCUUGAAAUGUCCCCUUUCUCUUCUUAAAGGAAAGAUAUAAGGUAAGUCAAAAUCCCAUAUCCCUGUCUUUAAUAAUUUUUCUUAUGCAGUCCUGAGCACUGAUUGCUAGAGAGUUUUUUACCAGUAGGGAGUCUGUGGGUAGUUUAGAGAGUUGGUGUAAGAGAUUUUUCUUUAAUAUUGCUAGCUGACAACUCCUUUUAUUUGAGAGAAUAAAGAAACAUGGUGUUAACUUCGCAGUAAACAGGGACUGCUGCUGAAAAUUGCCAGUUGAGCAGUGGUCAGCCCAGUGUGUCAGAAGGCAGUUGUUCUUGAUUUUUCAACAGCCAGAUUAAUGGUAGUUUUGUCAGAAAUUUUUCAUUUCCAUAGUUUCUUAUUUUACAUGUAGUUCACAGGAAAAAAAAAAAAAAGAGAGAACCAUAAAAAGAUACAGUAGAAUACCUGAUCAAUAGGUGGAAAACAGUAUUCCCUAUUCCCCCAACAUCUAUAUAUUCAGCAUUAUGUGUUUAACAGGCAGUUGUUACUAUUGAUUCAUUUUUUAAUUCACCAUCCAUUAAAAUGGUUUGCCUUUGUAUAAUGCUUUUUUUUUUGUCAAUAUGUUUCAGCAAGCUCCUUCUAUCUGAUCUGUGCAAUAGCUAGAGCUAACACAGAUCAAAGUGUAUCAGAUAUUUCACAGUGCACAGCUUAAUGAAAUGUGACUUACUUAAUUUUUAGCAAUUUAAGCACCUAGCAAAGUGUCAUCCAGGGGUGUUUGUGUCAGACAUUCAGGUGGAACACUGAGCACAUCUGACUCAGAUCUUUGAAAGAAGGGUUGGGGCUCUCCUCCCUCAUGGAACAUGAAGGGCUGGCUCAUGCAGCCACAUGUAGGCCAGGCCACUGAGGUGGAAUGAAAAUAUCUGAUUUUGAGAUGUGUGGUCAUUAAAGGCUUUUGUCUCCUACCUCAAGGCUAAGUGAUAGAAAUCCAUUACAUUUCAUGGAGCCAUCCAACACCAUCUCUCAUUCUGAAUAGUGCCCAAUGUUAUCAUAGUUGCUCUGAUUAUCUCCUGUGUCUUUAAGAGGAAAGUGUGAGAGCAGAUUUUUUUUGUUCUUCCUUUGUUGUGUUAAACCAUGAGACAAAGUCUUUAGCACUAAUUAUUUAUCACAGUGGAAGUUAUGUUGGCCUUGUACUAAGGCUGUCUGACAGCUCUCCCAUAGAACAGCAGUGGAGCACUUAGUCUAUUAUUUAAGGGAUGAGAGGAGUUAUGUUUCUUUUUUUCUUGCUUUAUUUUGUCUUUGGUGGUUUUAUUUUGCUGUGCAUUUGCUAUGCUAGUUCAGGAACCCUCGAGAAACGAUACUACUCUUCACUUCAAAUCACUCCCUAAACACAGAAGAAGUUAUCUUUUUUGUGACAAUGUGGGUUUGCUCUUGCUUGUGAGUUGACUGUUAAUCACCAGCCUGUUCAUUUCUAUUUGCUUCACAACCAGCCUAAUCAGUUCAUUACUGAGCUUAACUAAAGUGUUCUCAUCCACUCUGCAAGAAAAAUACUUCUGAAGCAAGCAGAUGGGCACUUGACUGCCUUUGCUCUCCAUGUGUACUGUGUUCUGCACUUUAGAUGGAUGGCUGGCAGUGAUCCCAGCCUCUUCCCUUCCUGAGAUCCUGUAUUGCUGCAUUUCAUGUUCAUGGCUACUGAGGUUUUACAUGUUCAUUAAAUAAUGCAAGACUAAUGUAAGACAUUUAUGCAUGCAGACACAGAAUCUUAAAAAAAAAGGUUCUUACAGUGGCUUAACUAUUAAUACUAUUGAAAAAAUGAAGACUGAAAGCAAAACACUUGCUGAAGAAAAAAGUAAGGGUAAAUUGAAUAUUUUUAUCAGUUUUUCUCUGCUUUCUAGGUCAGCAUCUCAUACAGAAGACUAAAUCAUUAUGUGAAUGCAUUUUUCUGUCUAAUUGUUUGAAAUAUAGAUAUAUUUUUAUCACUUCAGUAUUAGCCUCUACAAAUUGUCCCUCCCUCAUCCAACAGAAUUUCAGUAUUCUUUCCUCACUCAUUUAAAAAUGAAACAAAGCAACUCUGUGAAUCCCUUCACACACACACACACACACCUACAGCUGCAGGAAAAAUCUAAACAACAAAAUAUUACCAUUAUUUUAUAAAAAAUAUAUGCAGGUCAAAAGACCAGUAAUCACCACCUGUGGAUUCAAGUCCAGCAUUCUUAUAUUGUUGCUCUAGUGUUUGAUAUCCUUCCAUUAAUUAAUGAGGAGUAGCUAAAAAAGAUCCGUUUUAUUUCAGUAUCAGCGAGCUACUUUUUAGACACAGUGUUAAAAGAAUUUUAGCAUUGACACAGUAUACUGCUUUAUCACUAAUGCAGUUUUUGUUCAUGAAGGAGAUACAGAGUCUCAGAGUUUGCAUUUUGAUUAACUUGGAGGUCUUUUCCAACCUUAAUGGCUCUAUGAUUCUAUAUAAGCAAAUGCUACAAACAAGGGAAAAAGAGAUUAUGUCCCCUGUCUAUUGCUUCAGAAUGUGUGCCAUUGAAAGCUGGAUCAUAUCUAGUGUGUGGAAGAACUUGCAGAUAAAAAUAUUAUUUAGCAAUAAAGGAGUUUAGAAUGACAUAAGAUGUAGUAUCACUUCAUCUGGUAAUUUUUUCAUUUUCACAAUAAUAAUUUAGGUAAAAGAGUAACAGUAAUAAAAAAUAGGACUAUUAGCAGAACUGCUGUGUCAUAUACAGUGUAAGGUAUAAAAGCUCACUAUUCUUUGUCUGUUUAGAAAGGAAAAUACUUUUAGAAACAGAAAAUUUAGAAAUACCUUUAGAAAUAGAAACUUUCAAGAUAUUAGAAAAAUAUAUUCUAAAAAGGUCAAAAAGAAACUAUCAGAACACUUCAGAAUGAAAUGUUGAAUUUUUUGGUAGAGAAUUUCUUAGAAUUAUUUUAAUAUUAUGCCAUAUGAGAAAAAAUUGUUUCAUAGCCUCAUGUUUGUGUAAGAUUUUGAGUGUUCCCUCCAUAUUUUUUUAUAAUGGAAAACCUUUUACUACAAGUAAGUAAGAAAUACAGUAACUGUAGGCAAAUGCUUUCAGUCAAACAGAGAUGUGGUUUUUUUGUGUAGUCCAUCAUACUGACCUGGAAAAAGUGUUUGAAUGUGAAUGUGAAUUCUUCUUCAGAGAAACUCUGUUUAUUGCUCUGUAGAUCAACUUCAUCAUCUUCCAUCAUUUAAGAUCUAAUCCAGAGGUCCUAGCAUUCAACAGAAAUAUUUAUUCAUGCUUCCAUGGGCUUUGGAUUAGAAGGUGAAAAGGAGUUCCAAGUUCAUUAUUCAGUGAGAACUAGUGGAGUUUGUUUCAAAAGUGAAAGCAGAUAUUGAUCUGCUGUGUGAAACUAUUACAUGGUCUUCUAAACAUUUGGACUAAGCUCUGGUAUUGUUGUACAUCAUUCUGGCUUAAUAUGCAAGUCACAUUGGCCAACCAAGUGUGAACCUAAAAAUCCACUGAAAAUUUUAUAGCCUAAAAAUUCUGGCUAACCUCCUUAACCUUAUUUAAUGCCUAGCUAAUCAAUAAAUAUUGUGCUGGUGUGUUUUUGGGGUUUUUUUUUUGGUGAUAGAUUCUACUAGGUGUUAAUCUGAAAAGUUCUGAUUUGCUUACCCAGAGAAAACAAAGUUUCAGAAUCACUCUGAAGUGGCUCCAGUAUAAACACCUUGACCCCUUGACUCAAGGCUUCUUCACAGUACAUUGUGAGAAUGUAAUUUUUCAAACCUGAGAGUGAGAAGUGCAAUCUAGUCUGGACCUGGGUUUUUCUUGCUAUAGGAAGAGGAGAGAAAUGUCAGCGCUGCCUACUUAACAAGGACAAGAUUAGAAAAUGAGGUUCUGGUGCUUCUUCUGUCCUGCAAAAGAGAGAAGGGGAUAAGGAUGAUGUCUCAGCUGAGUCUGCUGGCUUGAGGGAGGCUGGAACUAGGUGCCCUGGAUCACAGCCUAAGCCCUACCUCAGCCUUAGAAGUGACAGAAGCAAACCUGUUUAUGUCUAAGAUUUGCUGCCAGUACGGAUAUUUGCACCAUGGCUGGGGUCGCUUUCUUAUCUGUUGUCUGAAGCAGCCCCCAACUUUGUCUGUCCCUAAAGUUUACUCUGUUCUUCCAACACUAAUUCCUUUUUUUGUUUUGUUUUGCUUUGAGAGAUAACCAAUACUCAUAUAUCUCCUUGCAAAAUCAGUUGAAAAGACACAUGUUUUUUUAAAGGCUUUAAAAAUACUUUCUGGGGGUUGAUUGUGACAUUUCAAUAGUUCCUCCUAAACUAACAUUGUAAUUACACUGCUGGGUGUAGGAAAAAUAAUAAUUAAAAAAAAAUCAGCAUGGUUAAGAGAUCUUGAAGUCCAUCAAAGAUUUCAGAGAGCUUUAGCUCCAAAAAAUCUGGGAAGGUUUGCAGGAAAAAUUCUCAAAAAUCCUUUUUACAAAGAAUCAGUAACAACUUAAUCCACAUUAAUUAGGUCAGCAACAUUAUAAGUGCAAUUAAGUAGUGGUGUUAAGUGUGAAAGUUUAACAUUUUGCUCAGAUUUUGUUGAAUAAUGAUGUACUUAAAUAAUGUUUAUUUUGACUCAGUAAACAUUUCUUUGUUAUACAGGAUUACAUAUAUGAAGCAUGGAAGGUAAAAAGUACUUAACAUUAAACUCUAAAACAAAAUCUUAAUUUGCAAAGGACUGGGGUUUUCUUAUAAUUUUCUUUUUAGAAUAACUUCUAAAUAAUUAGUGUAUCUUUGAAGUAACUGUUUUUUAUUUAUGUUCACAUUUGUUUCCAUGAAAAAGUUCGAGCAUAAUAAAAUAUUUUCUAGGACUUUUAUUUCUUUAUAUCUUUUUAGUGAUGUCCAAUCAAUGUCCAGAGAAAUCUUGUCUUUUCUAUAGAGAGAAAAUGCUUGAAGUCACACUAGGUCAUCUUCCUUCCUAAAAAAAAUAAAAUUGCCAUGAAAACCAAA